GAUGAACGCUGGCGGCGUGCCUAAUACAUGCAAGUCGAGCGAAUGGAUUAAGAGCUUGCUCUUAUGAAGUUAGCGGCGGACGGGUGAGUAACACGUGGGUAACCUGCCCAUAAGACUGGGAUAACUCCGGGAAACCGGGGCUAAUACCGGAUAACAUUUUGAACCGCAUGUCUCGAAAUUGAAAGGCGGCUUCGGCUGUCACUUAUGGCUGGACCCGCGUCGCAUUAGCUAGUUGGUGAGGUAACGGCUCACCAAGGCAACGAUGCGUAGCCGACCUGAGAGGGUGAUCGGCCACACUGGGACUGAGACACGGCCCAGACUCCUACGGGAGGCAGCAGUAGGGAAUCUUCCGCAAUGGACGAAAGUCUGACGGAGCAACGCCGCGUGAGUGAUGAAGGCUUUCGGGUCGUAAAACUCUGUUGUUAGGGAAGAACAAGUGCUAGUUGAAUAAGCUGACACCUUGACGGUACCUAACCAGAAAGCCACGGCUAACUACGUGCCAGCCGCCGCGGUAA
rnacentral:rRNA from 1 species